AUUGAACGCUGGCGGCAGGCCUAACACAUGCAAGUCGAACGGCAGCACAGAAGAGCUUGCUCUUUGGGUGGCGAGUGGCGGACGGGUGAGUAAUGUCUGGGAAACUGCCCGAUGGAGGGGGAUAAAUACUGGAAACGGUAGCUAAUACCGCAUAACGUCGCGAGACCAAAGUGGGGGACCUUCGGGCCUCACACCAUCGGAUGUGCCCAGAUGGGAUUGGCUGGUAGGUGGGGUAAUGGCUAACCCAGGCGACCAUCCCUGGCUGGUCUGGGAGGAUGGCCAGACACACUGGAACUGAGACACGGUCCAGACUCCUACGGGAGGCAGCAGUGGGGAAUAUUGCACAAUGGGCGCAAGCCUGAUGCAGCCAUGCCGCGUGUAUGAAGAAGGCCUUCGGGUUGUAAAGUACUUUCAGCGGGGAGGAAGGCGGUGAGGUUAAUAACCUUGCCGAUUGACGUUACCCGCAGAAGAAGCACCGGCUAACUCCGUGCCAGCCGCCGCGGUAA
rnacentral:rRNA from 1 species